rnacentral:rRNA from 1 species
UACGUAGGGGGCAAGCGUUGUCCGGAUUCAUUGGGCGUAACGAGCGUGUAGGCGGCCAGGUAGGUCGGUUGUGAAAACUCGAGGCUCAACCUCGAGAUGUCGGCGGAAACCGUCUGGCUAGAGUCCGGAAGAGGAGAGUGGAAUUCCUGGUGUAGCGGUGAAAUGCGCAGAUAUCAGGAAGAACACCUAUGGCGAAGGCAGCUCUCUGGGACGGUACUGACGCUGAGACGCGAAAGCGUGGGGAGCGAACAGG